CAGAGGGUGCAAGCGUUAAUCGGAAUUACUGGGCGUAAAGCGCGCGUAGGUGGUUCGUUAAGUUGGAUGUGAAAUCCCCGGGCUCAACCUGGGAACUGCAUUCAAAACUGACGAGCUAGAGUAUGGUAGAGGGUGGUGGAAUUUCCUGUGUAGCGGUGAAAUGCGUAGAUAU
rnacentral:rRNA from 1 species